rnacentral:rRNA from 1 species
UACGUAGGGGGCUAGCGUUGUCCGGAAUCAUUGGGCGUAAAGAGCGCGUAGGCGGCCAGAUAAGUCCGGUGUGAAAGUCACAGGCUCAACCUGUGAAUGCCGCUGGAAACUGUCUGGCUAGAGUCCGGGAGGGGCGAGUGGAAUUCCUGGUGUAGCGGUGAAAUGCGCAGAUAUCAGGAGGAACACCAAUGGCGAAGGCAGCUCGCUGGAACGGUACUGACGCUGAGGAGCGAAAGUGUGGGGAGCGAACAGGAUUAGAGUACCCGGGU